CUAAGCUGCUGAAUAUUGCAAUCGUCCACCAAGAUGCUCGUGACGCUUCAGGGGAUUCUCCUAGCGUGUAACCGCGCGUUCCUUUUUAGUCUCUUCUUUUUCUCUUCAGCUGGUAAUCACGCUUCCCGACGUACAGGUGAUAAUUAGUGCACUAAAAAGUGCACCAAUAAGUGAAUCGUCAUAAAAAAUGAAAGAAGAAACGAUAUCGUGUAGAAUAAAAUGCAAAAAGACGGUGGCCGAGUGAUUUAUGUAAUCGUUAAGGAAUAUAGUUGCUCUGUCUGACGAUCGUAGACCGGAAAUGAGGAAAAUAUCGAUCGCGAAAGUGACGAGAAAAAGGAUCAAGGACGAGAUCGGAGCAGUAAUUGCUGGUUGACAAACGAGGCGAAGAAACGAGAAAAAAAAAUUGGAUAAAAAGCCUUUCUGAAUUCCUUCGAAUGCGUGGACUUUCUAUUUUACCAGUUAGUCUAUAUUAAAUAAUUUCAAAACCUGAUUCUUGCAACAUGUUACAAAACUGGAUCUAACGUAUGCAGAAAAAAGUUGUCAAGAAAAACGCGUCAGCGAAAGAAAAGUUAACUGAGUUUCUCCUUUCAUGAAAAAAUAAUAUCUUUUAUUGUUUCAUUCAUCUGCGACUUUGAAAACAUUCGAGAAACAUGAUUUUUUCAUGAAUAUUAAUAUUGUAGAUUGACAACAUUUCGAAUGGCAAGUCUUGGAACGAUUGAAUAUUCUGUUAAUUUUCGACGUAUAGUUAUAUUCAUAUAUGUUUAAGUUGAUUGCCUUUUUGUCAAUGUAUGUACAGGCACGUUGCUUGAAUAUUCAAUCAUGGUCGUUUCGGAGUGACGAAAUCAUGUUGAGAAAAAAAGAACAAACUUCCGUUUCGAUUGUUAUCUUCAGACAGCUGGUCGAUGAGGAAAAAGUCACGGAUUCGAAAUUAUGUAUUCUAAAUGUUUGUAUAAAUUCGAUAAAGAUUAAUUUGCUGAAGAAAAAAACAAAUUUGUAUGAAUUACGAAACGGAAACACGAAAAAGGUCGAAAUUCUUUCACUGUCUGCGUCCUCGAGCUGCACGAGGCAUCGAAAAAGAAGGGGCCACUGUUCGAGGUGAACUUCUUCCACGAUCAGGGUCAUCCAUGUCUUUCUUUUAGUUCUUCUUCUCUUUUCGGAUACGAAAAGCUUUUCUUCAGUUUCGAAAGCGAACGAUCAACAUGUAUCUAAAUAUAUACAUGGAUACUUUGAAUUUUGAAGUUUAAAAUGGGGUUACUGACCUGGGUCAAUAUUAAUUCCGUUCAAUUUUGUCAAUACUCGAUCGAAAAAUAUAAUUAAUCUUUAAAUUAACAAUAGUAAGUCCAUUUGUAAUUUGGAUUUAUAACACUAUUGAAAUUACGAAGAUUGAUUAGUCAACCCUCGGAUGGCGGACCAUGGAGAGAACCUGAAUUUUAAUUUAAUCUCAUACUUCAUACUGUCAUCUUUUUUAAAUUUUAAUUACCAUGACUUGAAAAUAUAAUAUAAUAUAGAAGGUGGUAGGAUGAAAAUUAACCCUGUAACUACCCCUACCAAACUUCGCGAAAGACCAAAAGACUUUCGAAUAGAAAAAACCAAUCUUUAUUAAAACUUCAAGUUUUAAAUUAUUUUCUUAAGUAACUGCGACGUCAUACAUUUAUCUCUUCCCUUUCUUCUAUCAGUUUUUAUCAUCAAGAUUUACGAGCAGACUGCAAGUAAGGAUUGCAGUCGCUCGUUGCAGCUGCAUUCGGGGGUUGUAAAAUUUUAUCGAGCGAUUCCUUUCUUAGGCACAUCGACCCACCGUUACAAUUGGCAGCCGACCAAGAAGUUCUGCUUGGGAAAAAAGGGUGCAACGAGCCGAGCUGGUUACCUUCGCGAUCAUUUACCAGCUCCGACCGCUAUUUCAACGUUGAAAUAGUAUCUGAAUCGAUGCCAAAAACGUGGCACACUGUGUUCUACGAUCAUCGUCCGAUUGCUUUUACGUUACGAGUACCUUCAACAGGCAGUAUUUACAUGCAUCAACACAUCAUCGAUGUAAAAUAUCGAAAUUUAUAUGUUAGACGAAUUUUUACAUAUGUACCGUGAUUUUAGAGAUUGAGCUGGACUAUAGAUUUCUGUUGAAAUGAAUUUAACAAUAAUUGGGUAGGAAAAUUUUGCAAUGUUUUAAACAUUUAAUUCAUUAAUUACAGCCGGCGUUCAACCGAGAGAGGUGAACUUAAUUUCAAAAGUGGUUCAAGCUUCUCAUUCGAAGGAAAAAUGAAAGAGCAAAAGGGCUUUAAGCGAGGCAAAAAGCAGCAGCUUACAAUGAGUGAAAAGAACGAACAGAGGAAAUGGAGACGAAAAAGGGAACAAAAAGUAAUGAAAGAAAAGAAAGGAAACAAAAGAAGAAACGGUAGCUACAUCAUGAAACUUCCACUAGGAAUACAAAACAGUUUCAUUACGUUGACGUUGAUUGAGUCUAAAAAUAUAAAAACCUAAUUUUCACGACGUCCAAUCAACCCUUUAAAAAAUAAAUUAACCUUUUAUAAAAAUAGUUGGAUAAGGUGAGGCAGUAGUAUGAACGGUUUUUCUGUCGAACGAUUGAGUAACGAUAUCUAGACCAGCCUAGAGACAAGUUUGAAAAAGAAAUUUCCCGAUGAAACUUCGAGGAAACUAACUCGUUCCCCAUCGCGGGAAACUCGUGACCGCGCUGUAUUGUGUCAUUCAAACGUAAUACAUUGACUGCGUGGCAAGCGUGCCACGGUCGUGGUGAAACUUGGCUGGUAUACUUGCAAGAAGUCUUGCACGUGCGAUGAACACAAAGAAGAAUGGCCACUUCUGAUCGUGCUUUAUAAUGCUCUUCGUAAAAACCGUUUCAAAGUUGUACAGGGAAACAACUUUGGAAAAAAGAAAAAUGUUCAAAGGAUGAACUCUUUCGAAUAACGCUAACCAUUAAAAAGUUUCUGAAAUAAAUUUCGAUUUACACCAGAAGUUAAGUUGUUUUAAACGGGAGUAUCCAAGUUUCCUAAACGGCAUUAAAAUCUCAGGAAAGUGAAUGCAUCGGAUUGGUGUUACGAAACGCAUGGAAUAGUACGAAAAUGUGAGUCAAUGAUUUUACCAGACGGCGAUUAUGCAAAUUGUUAAAGACACAAGCAAAACGAUUCGCGAUGAUAUUGUCUCGGAUCUAGCACGAAACGAUGGAUACUCUGUUUCGCGCAUCACCAACCUGGAAAUUAUAAUUUCAAAUGAUCAAUUUUAAUUUCUGAUCGACCGGGCGAAAAAACGCUCAUCGAUAACGCAGAGAUUCAAUUUGCAUAUCAGCCCGUUUCCACGAUCCGUUCACGUUUCUUUCAUUCCCUUUCCUUUUUUAUGCGUUUCAGUACAGUCUCUAAAGAUUGACGUCCAACGGUAGUGAUCGCUCUUCUUUGCUAUGACACGUUAUUUGCGAUUGCACAAGUAUCUAUGUUUGCUAGAAUAAUUGGCGUGUUUUUAAGUGCCACGAAGUCGUGUAUAAAUUUUAAUGAGAAUAAACUACAGGGUAGCAAGAAACGCGUUUGAAAUGUCAAGAUAAAGGUGCCUGGUUUCCCUCGAUGGACACAUUUUAAUUAGUAAUUAAAAUCUAUUUUUACUUUACGUUUUAAUGAUAAAGUAGAAACAUAAUAACUAACUUGGAUGUAUAGAAUUUUCCACAUGGCUUACUAUUUAUAUUUAAUUAUAAAUGGCAGUCUUUUCGAUCUAGAUAUAUCACUUCAAUAAAUCAAAGUGACGUUAAUAAACACAUUAAGUCGGAACAGUGAUUUGAAAAUUAUAUGACUAAUUACAGGACUAAUUAUAGGACAAUUUCUAAUUGUCACUGUUAGAGAUAUAUUACAAUUGUCCUUAAUUACCCCGAACCAAUUGAUAUCGAAUUGCAACAAAUACGUAGCAACAGUUAAUAUUACUUGGUUGGAUUUCAAAAAUGAAAAUGAAAAUUUUUCAAUUAACUAAAAAGUACGUUCUCUUACUCACGUUUUAU